CCUUCUGUGCCCCCAGCACCACGUGUCUGGGCCACGUGAGCAACGCCACGUGGGCCUGACGUGGAGCUGGGGCCGCAGGGGUC
rfam:Cricetulus griseus cell line CHO-K1, whole genome shotgun sequence.